rnacentral:rRNA from 1 species
UACAGAGGGUGGCGAGCGUUGUUCGGAAUUAUUGGGCGUAAAGGGCGCGUAGGCGGUGCGGUAAGUCACCUGUGAAAUCUCCUGGCUCAACUGGGAGCUUGCAGGCGAAACUGCCGUGCUGGAGUGUGGGAGAGGUGCGUGGAAUUCCUGGUGUAGCGGUGAAAUGCGUAGAUAUCAGGAGGAACACCUGUGGCGAAAGCGGCGCACUGGACCACAACUGACGCUGAGGCGCGAAAGCUAGGGGAGCAAACAGG